ensembl:lncRNA
AUGGCUAGCUCGACGAGACAGACCCAGACGCUGGAACCCAGAAGGAAAACACAGGUGAGUAGGUGGGUGAGUAAUAAUGUUUUAUUUUUCUUGGUCCAGAGUGAUAGUUGGCGUUGGGGGAGAUCGGAUGAUGACUCGUGGCAUGACUGGAGGUUUGUCCGUGGAGGUAGUUUGAGUCUUGGAUCCGUGAGAACAGAGGACACAGGUGACCACUCGUGGGAAUGAAUAUCCGAGCAUGAGACAGAAAGCGAGACUUAGGCAAAAGGCAAAGGCAAAAGUACUAUGACAAGAUAAAUAGUGACCAAACUGUGCACCAUCAGGAGCAACGAACUGGCAAAGAAUGCUGGUCCAGGAUCUUCUUAAGUAGGCAGGCAGGUGAUGAGGUGAGUGGUAACAGCUGUGUCGCAUCAGGAGCCAAGCAGAGAGGGGGAGGGGGAGGUGAGCCGUCAGAGGCACCAUGACAUUACCGCUUGUUUUUGUCCAAACAAUGAAGCAAAAGGUUGUUUUAAAGAAGCCGGCGCAGUGAUACGAAACAUUUAAGCUAGGUGACCGGAACUGAUGACUGUGCGGUUAUCACUGUAGUUUAUCACUUUUUAAUGUACACCCAGCAGCCAAUCAGAAUGGAGUAUUCAUCUGGACCUGGGUAUAAGUAAGGGAUAACGGCCUUCAAAGUGUGCAUUAUCAAAAUGAAGGUGGAAGCAUGAACCGACCGACGGAAAGCGGUCAGACGGUUCAGACCGGUUUGCGUUGUUCGGAACCGGUCUGACCCUAAAUACCCCUGCAGAGUACUGAAUGACCUCCGACAGAGGAUACUUGGGGCUUUUCAGUGAUACUAAAUGUGAAGAGGUCUGGGAUUUGUAGUUUUGGUGGAUUUAAAAAAAUGUGACUGGAAAACAUUUUUCUGAUGGCGAGGAGGAUUUUGACUCAACGCACAAAUGGAAAGAAAGACUAACAUAACGCUUAGAAAUGGCUGCGGCGUCACCAUGGUGACGCGAGGAGAUCAGGACGGGAUGAGCAGCUGGUUUUCUUUGAGCUAUUUCCAUUUUCCGAGUCUUCGCUCAUCUGGGCAACAACCGCGUGGAGAAGCUUAACGACGGCUGACGUGAAAACUCUGCUCCUCCUCUUUGUGUCCACAGUGACCUCGUCACAAAGGUCAAACAUGGAGUUUUCAAGUUUUCCAUGUUUUCCUGAGCAGACGUUAGGAAGAACGAAGAGCCAAUGAAGGAAGACAAAAGGAAGGAGGGGCGGAGCUUCACGCCAAGGGAGGAAAGGGAAAUAAAAGAGCAAAUAUUUGCCCGGACUGAGCACUGUUUGGGUUUCGAGCUGCUGGUUUAAAGUCCAAACCCCCCCUCCAGCCCCCCACCCCUCCAAAGUGAAACCACAGCAUGAAGUCAGGGGUCGGGCUCCGCGGGCGCCGUUUGACCUUGGAUUUAUUUUUGUCUCCAGGACAACGUGGGUUAGAAAUCCUGUUGGUUCUACUGACAAAAAAUAUGUUAUUCUCACCCCCCCAAGAGUGUUGUGUCUAUAGCGGCUGGGGUGGGGGUGCAGGGUUAGAGCCAGGAGGGGCCUGUGGCGUGGGGGGGGGGUCAUUUUGAAAUGAUUUUAUAAAGGUUUAGGUUGAUUUGAUUCAACAAACUGUGGAGCAAUUUCUGUGUCAUUAUUCCAAGCGUAACACUCACUGUCG